rnacentral:rRNA from 1 species
GAUGAACGCUGGCGGCGUGCCUAAUACAUGCAAGUCGAGCGAAUGGAUUAAGAGCUUGCUCUUAUGAAGUUAGCGGCGGACGGGUGAGUAACACGUGGGUAACCUGCCCAUAAGACUGGGAUAACUCCGGGAAACCGGGGCGAAUACCGGAUAACAUUUUGAACAGCAUGGUUCGAAAUUGAAAGGCGGCUUCGGCUGUCACUUAUGGAUGGACCCGCGUCGCAUUAGCUAGUUGGCGAGGUAACGGCUCACCAAGGCAACGAUGCGUAGCCGACCUGAGAGGGUGAUCGGCCACACUGGGACUGAGACACGGCCCAGACUCCUACGGGAGGCAGCAGUAGGGAAUCUUCCGCAAUGGACGAAAGUCUGACGGAGCAACGCCGCGUGAGUGAUGAAGGCUUUCGGGUCGUAAAACUCUGUUGUUAGGGAAGAACAAGUGCUAGUUGAAUAAGCUGGCACCUUGACGGUACCUAACCAGAAAGCCACGGCUAACUACGUGCCAGCAGCCGCCGUAA